UACGUAGGGUGCAAGCGUUGUCCGGAAUCAUUGAGCGUAAAGCGCGCGUAGGUGGCUUCGUAAGUCCGUUGUGAAAGUCAAAGGCUCAACCUUUGAAAGCCGAUGGAUACUGCGGAGCUAGAGUACGGAAGAGGCGAGUGGAAUUCCUGGUGUAGCGGUGGAAUGCGCAGAUAUCAGGAGGAACACCAAUAGCGAAGGCAGCUCGCUGGGACGUUACUGACACUAAGGCGCGAAAGCGUGGGGAGCGAACAGG
rnacentral:rRNA from 1 species